rnacentral:rRNA from 1 species
GCUAAAUACUACUGACUGACCGAUAGUGAACCAGUACCGUGAGGGAAAGGCGAAAAGAACCCCUGUGAGGGGAGUGAAAUAGAACCUGAAACCGUGUACGUACAAGCAGUAGGAGCAGGCUUUGUCCUGUGACUGCGUACCUUUUGUAUAAUGGGUCAGCGACUUAUAUUCAGUGGCAAGGUUAACCAUCUAGGGGAGCCGUAGGGAAACCGAGUCUUAACUGGGCGUUCAGUCUCUGGAUAUAGA